rnacentral:rRNA from 1 species
UGAGGAAUAUUGGUCAAUGGGCGCAAGCCUGAACCAGCCAUCCCGCGUGAAGGAAGACGGCCCUAUGGGUUGUAAACUUCUUUUGUACAUGAAGAACGUCUCUUACGUGUAAGAGAGUGACGGUAAUGUACGAAUAAGCAUCGGCUAACUCCGUGCCAGCAGCCGCGGUAAUACGGAGGAUGCAAGCGUUAUCCGGAUUUAUUGGGUUUAAAGGGUACGUAGGUGGCCAGUUAAGUCAGUGGUGAAAACCUGUCGCUCAACGAUAGGCGUGCCAUUGAAACUGAUUGGCUUGAGUACAGAUGAGGUAAGCGGAAUGUGUAGUGUAGCGGUGAAAUGCAUAGAUAUUACACAGAACUCCGAUUGCGAAGGCAGCUUACUAAACUGA